rnacentral:rRNA from 1 species
UACGAAGGUGGCUAGCGUUGUUCGGAAUCACUGGGUGUAAAGCGCACGCAGGCGGAUCGUUAAGUCAGGGGUGAAAUGCCGAGGCUCAACCUCGGAACUGCCUUUGAUACUGGCGAUCUUAGAGUCCGGGAGAGGUGAGUGGAACUCCGAGUGUAGAGGUGAAAUUCGUAGAUAUUCGGAAGAACACCAGUGGCGAAGGCGGCUCACUGGCCCGGUACUGACGCUCAGGUGCGAAAGCGUGGGGAGCAAACAGG